UGCGCCCAAGCGGGAAAGCGAGUAGCGAUUUCUCACGGAAGCGUACAUGCGCAGUCAUGGGCCGGAUUGAAAGAUUCUGCACACUGCGUCUAAAGCGUCAUCUGCCAGGCAGCCUCUCAAUAAUCGGCGGUAUGAUGGUCACUACACUGGACGUUUUCCAGGCCAAAUAGACAUGCAGUUGAGGUAUGACUAAUUCCCAAACAAGACUUUUCAUGAAAGAUUCAUGACCUAAAUGGAAGU